GACGAACGCUGGCGGCGUGCUUAACACAUGCAAGUCGAACGGAAAGGCCCUGCUUUUGUGGGGUGCUCGAGUGGCGAACGGGUGAGUAACACGUGAGUAACCUGCCCUUGACUUUGGGAUAACUUCAGGAAACUGGGGCUAAUACCGGAUAGGAGCUCCUGCUGCAUGGUGGGGGAUGGAAAGUUUCGGCGGUUGGGGAUGGACUCGCGGCUUAUCAGCUUGUUGGUGGGGUAGUGGCUUACCAAGGCUUUGACGGGUAGCCGGCCUGAGAGGGUGACCGGCCACAUUGGGACUGAGAUAGGGCCCGGACUCCUACGGGAGGCAGCAGGGGGGAAUAUUGCACAAUGGGCGGAAGCCUAAUGCAGCAACGCCGCGUGGGGGAUAACGGCCUUCGGGUUGUAAACCGCUUUCGCCUGUGGCGAAGCGUGAGUGACGGUAAUGAGUAAAGAAGCACCGGCUAACUACGUG
rnacentral:rRNA from 1 species